rnacentral:rRNA from 1 species
CCUGACUGCUAUCGGAUUGAUACUAAGCCAUGCGAGUCAUUGUAGCAAUACAAGGCAUACGGCUCAGUAACGCGUAGUCAACCUAACCUAUGGACGGGAAUAACCUCGGGAAACUGAGAAUAAUGCCCGAUAGAACAUUAUACCUGGAAUGGUUUAUGUUCCAAAUGAUUUAUCGCCAUAGGAUGGGACUGCGGCCUAUCAGUUUGUUGGUGAGGUAAUGGCCCACCAAGACUAUUACAGGUACGGGCUCUGAGAGGAGUAGCCCGGAGAUGGGUACUGAGACACGGACCCAGGCCCUAUGGGGCGCAGCAGGCGAGAAAACUUUGCAAUGUGCGAAAGCACGACAAGGUUAAUCCGAGUGAUUUGUGCUAAACGAAUCUUUUGUUAGUCCUAGAAACACUAACGAAUAAGGGGUGGGCAAGUUCUGGUGUCAGCCGCCGCGGUAAAACCAGCACCUCAAGUGGUCAGGAUGAUUAUUGGGCCUAAAGCAUCCGUAGCCGGCUCUGUAAGUUUUCGGUUAAAUCUGUACGCUUAACGUACAGGCUGCCGGGAAUACUGCAAAGCUAGGGAGUGGGAGAGGUAGACGGUACUCGGUAGGAAGUGGUAAAAUGCUUUGAUCUAUCGAUGACCACCUGUGGCGAAGGCGGUCUACCAGAACACGUCCGACGGUGAGGGAUGAAAGCUGGGGGAGCAAACCGGAUUAGAUACCCGGGUAGUCCUAGGUGUAAACGCUGUGGACUUGAUGUUGGGGGUGCUCCGAGCACUCUCAGUGUCGAAGCGAAGGUGAUAAGUCCACUGCCUGGGAAGUACGGUCGCAAGGCUGAAACUUAAAGGAAUUGGCGGGGGAGCACCGCAACCUGAGGAUUGUGCGGUUUAAUUGGAUUCAACGCCGGAAAACUCACCAUAGCCGACGGACAAAUGAAGGUCAGUGUAAUGAACUUACCGGAUUGUUCGAGAGGUAGUGCAUGGCCGCCGUCAGUUCGUACCGCAAGGCGUUCUGUUAAGUCAGAUAACGAACGAGACCCUCAUCUCUAUUUGCUAACUGGAUCUCCGGAUUCAGUGCACUAUAGGGAGACCGCUGGCGCUAAGUCAGAGGAAGGGGAGGGCAACGGUAGGUCAGUAUGCUCCGAAUGCUAUGGGCUACACGCGCAAUACAAAGGACAGGACAAUGGGCUGCUGCUCCGAAAGGAAUGAUAGCUAUCCCGAAACCUGUUCGUAGUUCGGAUUGAGGGCUGUAACUCGCCCUCAUGAAGCUGGAUUAGGUAGUAAUCGCGUCUCAAAAAGGCGCGGUGAAUAUGCCCCUGCUCCUU